rnacentral:rRNA from 1 species
GGAGGUUGUGCCCUUGAGGCGUGGCUUCCGGAGCUAACGCGUUAAGUCGACCGCCUGGGGAGUACGGCCGCAAGGUUAAAACUCAAAUGAAUUGACGGGGGCCCGCACAAGCGGUGGAGCAUGUGGUUUAAUUCGAUGCAACGCGAAUAACCUUACCUACUCCUUGACAUCCAGGAGAACUUUCCAGAGAUGGAUUGGUGCCUUCGGGAACUCUGAGAACAGGUGCUGCUUGGCUGUCGUCAGCUCGUGUUGUGAAAUGUUGGGUUAAGUCCCGCAACGAGCGCAACCCUUAUCCUUUGUUGCCAGCGGUCCGGCCGGGAACUCAAAGGAGACUGCCAGUGAUAAACUGGAGGAAGGUGGGGAUGACGUCAAGUCAUCAUGGCCCUUACGAGUAGGGCUACACACGUGCUACAAUGGCGCAUACAAAGAGAAGCGACCUCGCGAGAGCAAGCGGACCUCAUAAAGUGCGUCGUAGUCCGGAUUGGAGUCUGCAACUCGACUCCAUGAAGUCGGAAUCGCUAGUAAUCGUAGAUCAGAAUGCUACGGUGAAUACGUUCCCGGGCCUUGUACACACCGCCCGUCACACCAUGGGAGUGGGUUGCAAAAGAAGUAGGUAGCUUAACCUUCGGGAGGGCGCUUACCACUUUGUGAUUCAUGACUGGGGUGAAGUCGUAACAAGGUAACCGUAGGGGAAC